UUUAAAUAGUAAGCCCGAGUAACAAUUAAUUUAUUUUCCAGUUUGUAUAUAUUAGAGCCAAGUUGUAAAAAUGUUGUUUCAUCAUCGGACCUUGACGCGCGUGCGAAUUGUCAAGUUGAUCAGACGUGUUGGAGUCGGUAGAAGUGACGCUCAAUGAUUCCGUCACAAUUUCUUUUUUUCCUACCUAUUCUAGUAACCUCGAGGGGUUAUUCUAGAUUCGCCGAGCUAGUAGCUGAGCUCACGGGCCUCAAACCUGACGACGUUGCUAACACGAACCCUAGCAAGAGCCGUGCUUCGCAGAUUCUACCACCGGAUCGAAAGCGCGACCCACUGAGAAGAUCCGGCGAGAAACUCACCGGGCUGUAUCUGUGGGUUAAUUUACUCGCCGAGUCCUUCGUCGUAAGCGAUGGGCUCGAUGACGACCGGUUCCGUCACAAGCAAACAUACCAAACACACCAUACGCGUUAAAAAGACUCUUGUAUUUAUAAAAGCUUAGUAAGUCCGUCGGUCUAUCGAGCAAUAAACCUCAUUUACCGUAAGAUUGCUCUGUGUAUACACGCCUCAUAUAUCCGCCCGCGCCGUCCGAGCAAGGCAACGCACAAUAACAUAAUAUGAUAAAUAGCUAACUGCGGAAAUGUUUCUUAUUUAUUGCUAAAUACAAUUUAGAUAAAAAAAUUGUAAAGUUGUUUAGUUCCGACUUGUACAGGUUGGAGUGAUAUGAGGUGGAUAGCAGUAAUUAUUAGUUAUUUAUUCAUUUAAUGCUUUGGUCGGUGGAUGAGCACACAGCCCACCUGGUGUUGAGUGGUUACUGGAGCCCAUAGACAUCUACAACGCAAAUGCGCCACCCACCUUGAGAUAGAGUUCUAACAUUAAAAAGAGUUAAAAAAGUAAUAAAAAAGUCAUAAAUAAAAAACAGUGAAUGUGCGUAAAUUUAUUUUCAAAUAUAAUUCCUUUUAAAUAUACAUUUUAUAUAAUUAAAAGUGCUUAUUAUUUAAAUUGUACUCCCAUUUUUAAACAUUAUUAAUUUGACUUAAAAUUCAUUUUAUUCCGAGCUGUGUAAUUGCGAUCCUUUCGGCUGACAAUGACAGUUCCACUUUCCUCGUCCUGUUGCGUCUUCAAACGUCAUUGUAGACAUGUGUGGACAUAUGCGAGUAAGACUUAUUGGGUUUAAGUGACAUUUUUGCAUCUUUACAUUUAAGGUUUAAAUUUUGGAAGAAAAUAUCAUAUCAAUGGAGUAAGAUUAAUUAUUUUAAUUAUUCACUUAAACCGUAGCGAACUUACCUGCAAUCGUCCUCAUUUGAAGACUCGAGGAGCAAAGACCAGUGUUAUGUAUGGAGGGUAGAAGUAAAAAGGGUCAUCUUGUAUAGAGGAGAAAGUUGAAGAAGUGUCCGCUUGUAAACUGGGAGUUGUUGUUGGAAGACUCACCGACAUAGCGCUAGUGGAGGAAGUGGAAAUGAUGUGAAUAUGGCAGCUUUAAACAGAGCGAGAUGUACCGGAGUGAACAAUUUCAUAUUUUUCGAGCCUUCUGUACUUAAAAUAUAAACAUUAUUUAAAAUCUCAA